rnacentral:lncRNA from 10 species
AGGAAAAGAGCUCCUUCUCUGGAAAUCCAUGAGGCUGGGUGCUCUUCACACUAACUGAUCCUGUUAGGGCCCAGCUGCUGGCUGCACCGGAAGUCAGCUUGGCACAGCAGAAGGAACAGAUUCACUUGGGACUGGAAUCUGGUUCUGCCACUUGCCGGCUCUGUGACUUUAGGCAAGCGACUUCACAUUCCUCAGCCAAUUUCAUCCGUGAAAAGAAAACCAGAAGAGCAAGAUGUUGGAGAAUUAAUAUCUGCUAGAGAAAUAUGCAUCUCAGCCUGGACUAAUUGGUGCCUGGAACAUGAUGAUGGCCAGUUCCUGCCUUAACUGAUCACAUUCCACCACAAAAGAAGUGAAAAUGGCCUGUUCCUGCCUUUGCUGAUGACAUUACCUUGUGAAAUUCCUUCUCCUGGCUCAUCCUGGCUCAAAAGCUCCCCUGCUGAGCACCUUGUGACCCCCCCGCCCCUGCCCACCAGAGAACAACCCCCU